AUUUAGUUGCUAAGUAAAUUAAAUUAGUGUCAAAAGUUUAAGAAAAUGAGAAGAUGAGGUGGAUAGUUGCAAAGUUACGAAUGUAGAACGGGUAAAAUGUCAAAAAAAAGCACGAACUUUUAAAUUUGGGAUGAAAAAAAUAUGAAUUUCUAAAACGCAAUUAAAAUCGUAAAGUCUUUUUUGACUUUUGAUAAAAUGGUCAAGUUUCGUUGAGUUUGCCAUUUCGAGCAUGUCGUUAAAUUUCCGUUAACAAGAAAAUCACAGGGUUAACUUUCCGUUAGCAUUUUCUGUUAUAAACGAAAUGACGUCG
rnacentral:sRNA from 1 species